AUAAAGGUCAUCAGUGAACUGGGUGGCAAAGAUGUUGAUGAUGUUGUCAAUUCAGGCCUCUCCAAGUUAGCCUGUGUUCCAGCAGGCACUGCUCUUGCUCCAGCUGCUGCUGCAUCUCCGGCUGCUGGUGAAGGCGCACCUGCAGAAGAGAAAAAAGAGGAAGAGAAGAAGGAAGAAUCUGAGGAGUCUGAUGAGGACAUGGGAUUUGGGCUCUUUGAUUAAUCACCUUGUUCUGGAAAAACAAUAAAAAUAGCAAAACCCAAAACUAUUUUACGCACAGCUUUCAGUCGAAGUGUCAGUUGCCCAGAAGGGACCUGGAUUACUGGGCUUAGCUGCUGAGAUCACCUCCUGUGUCAGACACGCUGCCUGAGAACACAGUGCUUUCUCUCGAUUAGAGAUUCUUACUUGCUCACUUUAGAACCCAGCAUUUGGCCCAUACUGUUUUUGUUACUGAUGAUUUUGCACAAGCCAUAAAAGAAACAACUUGACUUUCAGAUCUCAGGAUGUGUGCACAUCUUUGGCCGUGAAGGGAAAAAAGCUGCCAUCAUAUGACUGGUACCACACCAAAAACCGCUAAGGCUCGAUAAACAUGGAACACUAAGGUGUCACUUUCCAGAGUGAAACCAAACUUGGAAUCUGAAGGCUAGUGAGAGGAACAACUACACUGAAGGAAACAAAGCCACCAUUACCUGUAUGAGCUCCUCCUUUGAUCUGUAUUCUGAAAUGACGACAUUCUGUAAGU